UCUUCGGAGACAUGGGUGGUUGCGCCAAUCCCAGGAUGGGCUCCCAGUGAAAGACCUCAAGAGGAACCCCUCCCUCAAGCCUUGGGAUAAUAGUGGACCCUCAAGAACUCACGAGAGACC
rnacentral:pre_miRNA from 7 species